AGUCGAGCGGUACAGGACGCUAGUGAUCCCUUCGGGGUGACUUUGUUGCUGACGAGUGGCGGACGGGUGAGUAAUGCAUAGGAAUCUACCCAGUAGCGGGGGAUAACGUGGAGAAAUUCACGCUAAUACCGCAUACGUCUUACGGGAGAAAGCGGGGGACCUUCUGGCCUCUCACUAUUGGAUGAGCCUAUGUCAGAUUAGCUUGUUGGGGGGGUAACGGCCUACCAAGGCAACAAUCUGCAUCUGGGCUGAGAGGAUGAUCACCCACACUGGGACUGAGACACGGCCCACACUCCUACGGGAGGCAGCAGUGGGGAAUAUUGCGCAAUGGGCGCAAGCCUGAUGCACCAAUGCCCCGUGUGUGAAAAAAGCCUGCUGGUUGUAAAGCACUUUUAUUAGGAAAGAAAAACCCGGAGUUAAUACCUCCGGCAUUGACGGUACCUAACGAAUAAGCACCGGCUAACUCACUGCCAGCAGCCGCGGUAAUACUGAGGGUGCAAGCGUUAAUCGGAGUUACUGGGCGUACAGCGAGUGUACGCGGCUGCGUAAGUCGUAUGUGAAAUCCCCCGGCUCAACCUGCGAAUUGCAUUCGAUACUGCGUGGCUAGAGUUUGAUAGAGGUAACUGUAAUUCCUGGUGUAGCGGUGAAAUGCUUAGAUAUCCGGAGGAACAUCCUGGGCGAACGCAGCUUACUGGGACC
rnacentral:rRNA from 1 species